GACGAACGCUGGCGGCGUGCUUAACACAUGCAAGUCGAACGGAAAGGCCCUGCUUUUGUGGGGUGCUCGAGUGGCGAACGGGUGAGUAACACGUGAGUAACCUGCCCUUGACUUUGGGAUAACUUCAGGAAACUGGGGCUAAUACCGGAUAGGAGCUCCUGCUGCAUGGUGGGGGUUGGAAAGUUUCGGCGGUUGGGGAUGGACUCGCGGCUUAUCAGCUUGUUGGUGGGGUAGUGGCUUACCAAGGCUUUGACGGGUAGCUGGCCUGAGAGGGUGACCGGCCACAUUGGGACUGAGAUACGGCCCAGACUCCUACGGGAGGCAGCAGUGGGGAAUAUUGCACAAUGGGCGGAAGCCUGAUGCAGCAACGCCGCGUGCGGGAUGACGGCCUCCGGGUUGUAAACCGCUUUCGCCUGUGACGAAGCGUGAGUGACGGUAAUGGGUAAAGAAGCACCGGCUAACUACGUG
rnacentral:rRNA from 1 species